CCAUCGCAUGCAUGCGGCGGCGAAGCCUCGGAAUAUGGCCGCAGUGGACUUCAAUUUGUUUGCAGUUGACCCGGUCCAUUCACAGUCUACGAAGGUGCCGCAAAUCAUCUUUAUUCCUGAUCGCUGUGCUAGAUGCCUUCUCAUUCCCAACAGAUCGCUAUCAGGACCCAUUUUACCAGAUUACAGCUUAACUAUAGUACCUAUAGAUUCAACUAAAAUCUGUACAUCAUGUACAUCACGGCAAGGUUAGAAUGACGGAAUUGUGCCGGUUGGAAGGAAUUACUCUGGAACACUUGUGACACUCCGGACGAGACAACUCAGUGGCUAAUUACUAAUCACCAUUUGAUUCGUUUGAAGUCCGAAAGUUCAUGUUCACGAUGACGUGCUGCCCCUGGAUGCCACCUAAGAGCUACGGAUGGACCGAUCAGGACAAAGAAUUAAACUUAAGGCUUCCAGACGAACAAUGCCACCGAUAAAAAAACGAUCUGUGCACAUAAUUUAUUUUUCUUGCUCAAAUUCUAUAUGCAGUAUAGAUAAUAUAAAUAUGAACACAAUUAAA